rnacentral:lncRNA from 1 species
CUUUCACCCUCUCCCAGGUGGACUUCUAGUAAAUAUUGUGCUUGUAUCGAGCAUGGUAUAGAAGACAGAGCCUUGUGUGGCCAGGCCCAGGCAGACCAGUGCCCAACUACCCCAAGUGCUGCCCGGCAGCUAAGUGCUGCUGUAUAGUGAAUGCUUUGGGCAGCACAGAUCCACUCUGCAGUAAUGGAUGGGAAGUGUCUGUUGUGACUGAAACUAUCAAAAUAACUUACUUUACUUCUUCCAAGAUAGAACGAUCUGGAAAUGCAUGUUUCGGAGUGGUUUUGAUUUCCCUACAGCCUGGGAUGAGCACCGUUGCACUCCUUUUGCUGCCCUCGGUGGUGGCUGAGGGUCACAUUUCCAGCUGACAAGAGAGGCUUGAUGCAGAGGGAGAACUGGAAGCCAAACAUUUAGUACCAUACUGAAAGUACAUUAGGUAUGUGUCUAAAAUAACAAUUCCUAUGUCUAAUAGAACUGUGAUGUGAUAUCACUCAGAUCUUGUAUUAAUGUGGCCUGGCCAGUACACUCAUUAUACAAUGCCAAAAAAAAAAUCUGGUUGAAACUGCUCGUUUAAGAGAAGUCUGGAAGUCACCCAAGCCUACAUAUGACUGAGGCAGCAUCCCGCAACCUGGAGCUGACUUCAGGAGGGAGAGAAGGCCCAAUGGAGAAGAAGAGGGCACGAGGCUGGAGAUCAGCAUGAGCGGUGAACUCCUCUGCUUAGUUGCCUCGCUCCUAUGGGAAUGUUACAGAUCCCACACUCAUGCAAGGAAGUUUUCUGCCUUGGUGGAGAGGUAACUUAGAGUAGAAACAUGCUUUAUAGGGUCAUUUACAUUCAGCGGUAGCUGGAGGACUCACAUACAUAAAUGAGCCACAGGAACUUGAGGAGGAUGCCCCUAUUCUGGUGAUGGGAACAGCUGAUGUGAGUUCCUGGGCAGCAUCUCAGCUGUGAGAAUUGAGGCAUUACCAGGUGUGGAAGUUGUGAUGGGUGAUAGUCAAGCUUCUCCAGCUGGAAAGAAAAGACUGGCUUGUCACUACACUCCACUCUCUUUUACAAUCAACAGAAGAGCACCAGAAAUCCCAUCCACAUGUCUUCAAAGUACUUCCAGGUUAUCUACAAGAAGUAUAGUGGAAAGAAUGCUGAAUGCAGACUGUAGUGAAUGGGACAAGUCAUUUACUUGUCCACACAAGUGGAUACAAAUAAGAUACUGCACAGCAUAA